rnacentral:rRNA from 1 species
UACGUAGGGUGCAAGCGUUAAUCGGAAUUACUGGGCGUAAAGCGUGCGCAGGCGGUCUUGCAAGACAGGUGUGAAAUCCCCGGGCUUAACCUGGGAACUGCACUUGUGACUGCAAGGCUGGAGUACGGCAGAGGGGGAUGGAAUUCCGCGUGUAGCAGUGAAAUGCGUAGAUAUGCGGAGGAACACCGAUGGCGAAGGCAGGUCUCUGGGCCAUAACUGACGCUGAGAAGCGAAAGCAUGGGGAGCGAACAGG